UGCAGGCGGCAGCUACACAUGCAAGUCGAGCGGUAGAGAGAAGCUUGCUUCUCUUGAGAGCGGCGGACGGGUGAGUAAUACCUGGGAAUCUGCCUGAUAGUGGGGGAUAACGUUCGGAAACGGACGCUAAUACCGCAUACGUCCUACGGGAGAAAGCAGGGGAUCUUCGGACCUUGCGCUAUCAGAUGAGCCCAGGUCGGAUUAGCUUGUUGGUGAGGUAACGGCUCACCAAGGCUGCGAUCCGUAACUGGUCUGAGAGGAUGAUCAGUCACACUGGAACUGAGACACGGUCCAGACUCCUACGGGAGGCAGCAGUGGGGAAUAUUGGACAAUGGGGGAAACCCUGAUCCAGCCAUGCCGCGUGUGUGAAGAAGGUCUUCGGAUUGUAAAGCACUUUAAGUUGGGAGGAAGGGCUGAUGCUUAAUACGUAUCAGUCUUGACGUUACCGACAGAAUAAGCACCGGCUAACUCUGUGCCAGCAGCCGCGGUAAUACAGAGGGUGCAAGCGUUAAUCGGAAUUACUGGGCGUAAAGCGCGCGUAGGUGGCUAAGUAAGAUGGGUGUGAAAUCCCCGGGCUCAACCUGGGAACUGCAUCCAUAACUGCUUGGCUAGAGUACGGUAGAGGGUAGUGGAAUUUCCUGUGUAGCGGUGAAAUGCGUAGAUAUAGGAAGGAACACCAGUGGCGAAGGCGACUACCUGGACUGAUACUGACACUGAGGUGCGAAAGCGUGGGGAGCAAACAGGAUUAGAUACCCUGGUAGUCCACGCCGUAAACGAUGUCAACUAGCCGUUGGGAACCUUGAGUUCUUAGUGGCGCAGCUAACGCACUAAGUUGACCGCCUGGGGAGUACGGUCGCAAGAUUAAAACUCAAAUGAAUUGACGGGGGCCCGCACAAGCGGUGGAGCAUGUGGUUUAUUCGAAGCAACGCGAAGAACCUUACCUGGCCUUGACAUGCUGAGAACUUUCCAGAGAUGGAUUGGUGCCUUCGGGAACUCAGACACAGGUGCUGCAUGGCUGUCGUCAGCUCGUGUCGUGAGAUGUGGGGUUAA
rnacentral:rRNA from 1 species